rnacentral:misc_RNA from 1 species
AAAGUGCGAUAACUAGUGUGAAUUGCAGAAUUCAGUGAAUCAUCGAAUCUUUGAACGCACAUUGCGCCCUAUAGUAUUCUGUAGGGCAUGCCUGUUCGAGCGUCAUUUAACCCCUCAAGCCCAGCUUGGUAUUGGGUGCUUGUCCCGCCUCCUGCGCGGCGACUCACCUCAAAGUCAUUGGCAGCCCGCAAUCGCCGGCCGUGAGCGCAGCACAGACGCGCUUGUGGAAUCCGGCGGCUCGGCUCUCCAAAAGCUUAUUUCAACCACAAUUGACCUCGGAUCAGGUAGGGAUACCCGCUGAACUUAA